rnacentral:sRNA from 1 species
UAGUGAUGAAUUAACAUAAUUUGGGCGC